UGAGGGCACUGAAUGCAUAUGGUACACACACAUACUGAAGCAAAACACUCAUACGCAUGAGAUAAAAUUAAGCAAAGCAACUAUGAAUUUCCAGACUGAAGUCAUAUGAGUGCUGUCUCUUCUCUUCACAGUCAUGUGUUUUCAUUGUUUAUUUUGGACCUAGGAAAGCACAGUUAGCAGGACUUACGGAUUUCCUGAGUUGCCAUGGGCCACCAACUUCUCACAAAUGAAUUCACAGAACUAAGUUCAGAAGUUUUGUCAGGUUGCCUAUCUGGGAACUUCCUUAACUUUCACAAAGAAUAGGAAAUGUAAUGAAGCAGAAAAAUUACUCUAAUCUGCUGUGUAUCUAUUACUGUGAUUUGAAUGUGCCCUCCUCCCACACAUGAAUAUUGUAUAUCUAAUCACAAAAUGAGCUCAUGGAAGACGGUGUGAAGGCCAAUGCUACUUCAGAUCUGGUAAUUGAAUUUGUUUUUUAAAAUGGGGAAGCCAGUUCAGGUCCCGGGGGCACAGCUGAGUAGAUAAAGUGCUUGCAAAGUCACAUGCCCAGAAUGGAAGUUUGAAAAGCCAGAUGUGGUGGCACCCAUAUUAUGCCAGAGCUGGCGAUGGGGAGCAGGGAGGGUCUAUGGAGCUCCCUAGUCAGCCAGCCUAAACUCGGUGAGUUCCAGGUCAGUGGACUCCUGGCCUUCAGGCCUCCACCCUGAGUACUGGGUUUGCAGGUGUGCAGCGUCAGGCCUGGCUAAUUUUUAGGUAUCCUACGUGGUUUGAUCCUUGUAAAAAGAAAAAAGGUGGGGGAAGGCUGACUCCCUUUCUCCCUUCCUCAGGAGAGGUUCCAGAGUGUCCUCUGCCCUGACACCAACCUCACAGCUUGACCUUCCACAGACCAUUGUUGGUUUGGUUCAAAUCUGCUUAAUCCACUCAGCUUUCACCCACCAGGCUGGAAGAAAAGGGGAUUACUUUUAUCAACUGUCUCCACUCCCCAGCGGGACUUUGAGGCCCACUUAGGAGUCGCUUGAUUUUUUUUUUCCGGUAAGAUAUAAACAGGAAUUAGAAGUGGAAAUGAAACAAACGGAAAUCCCCAAACUGGACAGAAUCAGGGCAACAAAAAGAAUACAGAGUGUUUACAAGUAAGGGGCUCUAUUCGCUCUCCAAGUCAAAGAGCAGUUGAGGGAACAGUGCUCACCUCCAAGCCGGCUUUAGUUCCUCCCUCGUUUCCUCGGCAUUCCUUUGAGACACAAAAUGGUAUUUGAUGGCGACUCUACAAAGAGAUUUUAAGUGUUAAUAAGAAAAGUAAUUACAUUAAGAAGGAAGGAGAAAGUGAGGAACGAAGAGAAGGUGAGGUUGAAAGCUUGAAGCAGGAAGAGAAGUCUCAUUUUUGUUUGUCAUUGAAGCUGUUCCUCUUGGACUAGCGAGAUGGGUCAUUGUAAAGGCAUUUGCUGUUGAGCCUGGCAAUGUGAACUGCAUCCUGGACCCUCAGGUGGAAAUCAAGAACAAUCCCAGCAAGUUGUAAUCGGACUUCUUCAUGUAUGCCCUGGUCACAUGUGGGCUCACACAUAUAAAUAAACGUAAUAAAAAUUUUUAAAACAA